GGAUUAGAUACCCUGGUAGUCCACGCCGUAAACGAUGAUAACUAGCUGUCCGGGUACUUGGUACUUGGGUGGCGCAGCUAACGCAUUAAGUUAUCCGCCUGGGGAGUACGGUCGCAAGAUUAAAACUCAAAGGAAUUGACGGGGGCCUGCACAAGCGGUGGAGCAUGUGGUUUAAUUCGAAGCAACGCGCAGAACCUUACCAGCGUUUGACAUCCCGCGCUAACCCGAGAGAUCGGGUGUUCCCUUCGGGGACGCGGUGACAGGUGCUGCAUGGCUGUCGUCAGCUCGUGCCG
rnacentral:rRNA from 1 species